UGCAGCAGCCAGGAGUCCGACUCCUCCUCUUCCUGUGUGGAACCUGGAAUUCAAACGGCUGGGUGGGAAGCACGCUAGCAGGGGCCUCUGGCCUAGCUGAGGGUCCCUGUUCCCCCUUUUCCUUCCUUUUCACCCAACAAAACCCUGCUUUACUCACCCUUCAAACCAUCUAUGAGCCUAAAUUGUCGUGGUCGUGGAAUGGACAAGGACCCAGUCUUUAGCUGAACUAAGGGAAAGUCCCGCUUUUUGGCGCGCAACAGGGGAGCUCAAGAAACAGGCCUCACUCACGGCAUAUGGAACUAACCACGCCCCUAACUAAGAAGGCACACCUUAGUUGCAGUUAGCACACAAUUGAAGCAACUCUCCAAGUUUUACCUUAAAGUUCAAAAUUGCUAGGAGUUGAAACUACUAGAAAUAUAUUUACAUGCAAGAGUCAAAGAAACUUUGAACUAUUUAUGGCCUUUAAUAAUUAAAGUAAGGUAUACUCCUGUGAUCAAGACUUGGAGCAUAUUUGUUUCUCUCUGCCUGGUUCCUCUAGAAAUUGGAAACUAUCAGAACACAGACCAACUCCGUUUCCCGAUCCCUUUGCAAUCUGCAUUGAACCAUGAGUCAAGUUCUUGAUAAAGGAGUGAAAAUGAUAAGUCUAAAGCAAUGAAAAGCUGCUGUAUUGACUACACAUGACUUCAUUUCUUCUACCCUGCUUCUUUCAUGCCUACUUAUCUGAAUGACACCAGGAUGACAUUUAAGGCAUAACUGAAGAUGGGGAAACCACAGCACAGAAUAAGGCUGGGCCCUUGAAUCAAUAAAUGAAGGAGAACUACUCAAGAGAACAAAACCACCAGCAAUAUCCACCUGUAUUUGUCUUUUCAUAAUGUGUGACACAUGUGCUCAUGGAUUAUUGUCCGAAGCAAGUCAUGUGACCAAGCCUAACAUCAACUGGGUGAAGAGCUAUAUGUUCCUUUCUCAAGAGGCACUACAAGUGACAUGCCAACGGUCAGUUUCCAUAGGUGUACGCAACCUUAAAAGUCUGAUGUGCCUUUUGAGUCUAUUGGUAUUAAUACAUGAAGACCAUUUCCUCACGCAGCAAGCCACCCUGGGACCUGAGACAUGAUAACUGAAAACUUUACACAGAAGAUAAAGACCAAUGGCUUAGUUUUUUGAGGAAGGUAAUACAGAAGGAAUAAGAGCAUUAAGAGCCAAAAAGAAAAAAUAAUUUAAUGAAAGUAGGCAAGUGAAACUAAACCGACUACUCCCAGUUUACAUGUUUUGAGACAACUGACUCUUCUAAGGUUGAAGUCAAUUGUCUUGUCUCCUUGGAAACAAGGUGUCUCCUGGAUAAACCCCUCUCCCCUCUCAGGCUAAAUUCAAAAACCCUUGCUCUAGCUCCAUUAUCACCAUAUGUAUGUAUUUAUCAGAAAGAUUUCAAACUUUCUUGCCGUUUAAAAUGGUGGACAGAGGCAAUAUCUUUAGUUUUGGAAUGUCGAGAAUCUUUAACAAGGUAUGGAGAAUUGUAGAUGCUUAGUAAGCAGUCAUAAUAAUAAUAACAUGGGUCAUUUGUGUAUCUCUUUGGUGAAAUACAUACUCAACUAUUUUGCCCAUUUUUAAAUUUUUUCUUCUCUAUUGAAUGGUGAAAAUUUUUGUAUAUUCUGGAUACAACUUAUUUACCAGAUAUAUGAUUGGAAAAUAUUUUCUCCUAGUUUUUCACUCAUAUUUUUCAUUUUCAUAAUGAUGUCAUUCGAGAUGCAGAAGUUUCAAAUUUUGGUAUAGUGCAGUUUAUCAAUUUUUUUCCUAUAAGAAUUAUUAUUUUGGUAUUACAUAUAAGAAUUAUUUGCCUUAUCCAAGGUCAAAAAAUUUAUUUCUCUUUUUUCCAGAUGCUUUUGUUUGUUUUUAUCGUUAUAGCUCUUAUAUUUAGGUCUUUGAUCCACUUUUAAUAAAUUUUCUAUAUAAUGUUAGGUAGAGGUGCAAGGUUCCCCCCUUUUUUCUAAUUAAAAAAUAUUGCAAUGGGGAUAUAUAAUUUUUCCAACAGCAUUUGUGAAAUGACUAUUCUUUUCCUAUUGAAUUGUCUUUGCACUUUCGUCAAAAGUCAGUUGACCAUAAAUAUAAAGUUGAUUUCUGGACUUUUAAUUCUGUUCAUAAUCUAUACUCUUCUCUUAGUGUCAAUGCCAAAUGGCAUUGAUUACUAUGGAUUUAUUAUUCUUACUUCUUCUUCUCAUUUUAUAUAUCAUGAGUAUCAUUUCAGGUCAAUGUUCAUGCUUUUGAAUAAUUUAAGGAAUCUUCCUCAUACUUUGUAAUAAUAAACAUAAUUAAUGAAUAAUGCUUUUCAACUGGUCCCUUAUGGAUUCAUAAAGAUUGCCUCCUAUGUUGUAUUACAAAAGCUUUGUUUGGCUAUUCACAUGUAAUCUAUACAUUAUUUGGAAUGAAUUUUUGCAGUAUAAAUUGGAGGUACAAUAAUUUUCAUAUCAGUACUUAAAUGCCUCUGCAUUAAUUACUUGAAAAGACUAUAGGUUACUCACUGUUCUGUAGUGCAAUCUAUGCCAUAAAUCUAUUUUUUUAGACCUUCUUAAAGAUUUUCAUUAAAUUUUUAUACUUUUAUUUUUUCUACUCAAGUACACCUUUUGUCAAAUUUAUUACUAUGUACUUGAUAUUUUUCAUAUACUGUAAAUUAUAUCUUUUUCUUUGUAGUGUGUUUCUGAAUGUUGUACUAGAAACCAGAAGGUUUGCUCAACUUUCCAAUUAAUUCUGAAAAAUUAAUGUUUAGAGUCUGUUGAAUUUUUAAACACACACACAAAAUCCUAUUGUCUGUAAACAUUUAGAGAUUUUCUAUUUGCAAUAUUUAUACUUUUAAUUUAUUUUAGUUCUUUACAGCAUUUUCCAAUAUUGAAUAGAAGUAGUAAUUUUGAGUCUUUCUUUUGUCCCUAUUUGUACAGAGAAAAUAUUUUAAUGUUUCACUUUCAGUAUGAUGAUUCUAAAAUUUUUUGUUUUGUUUUGUUAUGUUUUUGCUUCUCUGUUUAUUGUUGAAAAAAAUCUUUGUUUAAUUAAGUAAGCUCCACUCUAUUCGUAUAGUAACAUAAAUUUUAUAAGAUAAUUUUUUCUAAAACUACUGAGAUACUCAAAUGAUUUUUCUUCUUUAGCUUGUUAAUGGGAUGCAACAUGUUGAUUGGCUUUUUUAGGAUUGACCUUGGUAAUGUUGAAUUCUCUUUCUAUGUUGGUUCGUUGUGCUUACUCAUAUUUUAUUUAGAAUUUUAUAUCUAGUAUCUUUUAGUUUAUCUGUAAUUUUCUUUGCCUGUACUGAUGUUCUCAGUUUUAAUAUCAAAGUUAUAAUUACCAUUUAAAUUGAUUUAAGGGGUGUUUCCUCAUUCCAGUCUCUGGAAUAAUUUAUUUAAGAUUUGAAAUAUGGUUUCUUCAAAUAUUUGGUAAGUUUUCCCAAUGAAAACAUUAAGUCACAAAAUUUUCACAAUGGUAAAAUAUAAAAUUACUAAUUUCUUUUCUGUAUUAAAUAUAUAAUUACAUAAGUUUUCUAUAUUGCUUGUUUUAUAUGUGUUGUGAAAAGCUUUGUCAAUUUUAUUUAGUUUUUCAUUUUAGCUGAAAUAAAUUCGUUCACAAUG